GCCAAAUUCUGUUGAGUUCUGUGAUCUUACCCACCAUGAAAACAUUGAAACAAAUUCUCCUUGAAUUUAAUUUUUUCUCUCUUUUUGCAUCCCAAAAUAUCAUUUCAUUUGAUAUCAUUAAGAUAAAGUUGAGUUGAGUUGCACCAUCACUAAUCAUACAUGCAUCAUUCUGUAAAAGUAAAGAACAGGUGAAGGAAUAGCACUUUGAACUACAAAUAAGAAAACAACUGUGAAUGAAAGAAAACAUCAAACCUUCUGCUGCUUUAGUUAUCUCAGUCUUUUGCAUGUCACAGAAGUGACGAUUGCUGAAAAAGUUUGUGAUUUAUGUAAAAUGUACUAUAAUUAUUUAUGAUUUGAACCUCUGUGCAGUGUUAAGUUUUCAUUUUAAAUUUUGUAAAUAUUUUCUUUGACUGAAAAUCCUGGAUGAAUGAAUUCAUUACCAGAGGGAACUUGAGUUUUUCCAGUUUUGAAGGAAAUAAAAAAAAGAAAUACACCAAAA